rnacentral:rRNA from 1 species
GACGAACGCUGGCGGCGUGCUUAACACAUGCAAGUCGAACGGAAAGGCCCCUUUGGGGGUACUCGAGUGGCGAACGGGUGAGUAACACGUGAGUAACCUGCCCUUGACUUCGGGAUAACUUCAGGAAACUGGGGCUAAUACCGGAUAGGAAUCCUUGCUGCAUGGUGGGGGUUGGAAAGCUUCGGCGGUUUUGGAUGGACUCGCGGCUUAUCAGCUUGUUGGUGGGGUAGUGGCUUACCAAGGCUUUGACGGGUAGCCGGCCUGAGAGGGCGACCGGCCACAUUGGGACUGAGAUACGGCCCAGACUCCGACGGGAGGCAGAAGUGGGGAAUAUUGAACAAUGGGCGGAAGCCUGAUGCAGCAACGCCGCGUGCGGGAUGACGGCCUUCGGGUUGUAAACCGCUUUCAGCAGGGGCGAAGCUUGUGGUGACGGUACCUGCAGAAGAAGCACCGGCUAACUACGUG